UACGUAGGGGGCAAGCGUUGUCCGGAUUCAUUGGGCGUAAAGCGCGUGUAGGCGGCUUUGCAAGUCGGAUGUGAAAUCCCACGGCUCAACCGUGGAAGUGCAUCCGAAACUGCAUCGCUGGAGUCUCGGAGAGGAAGGUGGAAUGCUUGGUGUAGAGGUGAAAUUCGUAGAUAUCAAGCAGAACACCUGCGGCGAAGGCGGCCUUCUGGACGAUGACUGACGCUGAGACGCGAAAGCGUGGGGAGCAAACAGG
rnacentral:rRNA from 1 species